rnacentral:piRNA from 1 species
GGAAACAGCAACUCUUACCCAGAGGC